CGCCUUCAGCAGCCAGGACUUCAGAUCUGAACAAUGGUUAAUGUUUAAAAAGGCACAGUGUGUUCUGUUUCAUGACCUGUUCAUUUCCCUUCCCUGCCAGUGCAGGCCUCAAGUAAGAGCUUGUUACAGGGCAUGAAAAGACACAGGGAGUGAUACUCAGGUCACAGGGAAGUUGCUUGAAGACGAGGGAGCUGUAUCUCCAAGGAAACACUCCAAAUGAGUUGCUGUGGGCCACCGUGGGCGUGGGUUUACUGUAGCUUAUGGAAAUAACCCACAGCACCCACUGAGAUGUGUGUAUAGAUUGCAGUCAGGAAAUGGAGGGAAUCCUGCAUUAAGCCGAAACGGUGGGAUUUAAAAAUGCCUAAGAGCGACUCUCUGGGUGGAAUCUGGUCAGAGCACCCAUCAGCUUUCCCUCUCAUCAGCAGUUGGGAGAAAAAUUACAUACUUUGGAUAUCCAAACCCGAAUCCAGGGUGUUCAGCCCUUCAGCUAUCUACCUUUCUGUAAUUAACCCUAUUUGUCACCAAUCCUCAUACUACAUGCUGUGAGGGCCAGCCAGUGCAGACCCUAACAUCUCCUAUAAACGAAACAUUCAGUCCUUUCCCCACCAACCCUAUUUGUUCUACUUUCAGUCUUUAUAUAACUCCCAACUCAUCUUUUCCUGUGACCUCAUCGACUGGUCCUUGUCACAUCAGACCAUCACCAGUUAUCCGUCAACUCCGUGCUCACUCUGACUGUGUAUUGACUUGGACCUGGCACCGGACUUGGUUCUGAGGAUACAUAGUUCAUGUUUUCCUUUCUGGAGAACUCACUGAAGAGAGAAACCUUGGCAGCCGUGAUGGUUUUCCCACCGUGGACUGCGUCGAAUAGCAGCCCUGGAGUCAUGCCGUGCAGAACCAACUGAGAGCUUCUCCAUCCUCUAGCAAAUAGCAGCUGUGGGGAGCCGCCCUCACAUUCGCCUUACAAGAUGGUGCUGACAUCCUGUGUUCUAAGUGGUAAACAAAUAAUCUGCGCAUGUGCCAAGGGUAGUUCCCCACCCCAUGUGCUCUGCCUUCCCCGUGACGACAACUCGGCCGAUGGGCUGCAGUCAAUCAGGGAGUAAUACGUCCUAGGCGGAGAAUAAUUCUCCUUAAAGGGGACGGGGUUUCGCCAUUCUCUCUCUUGCUUUUGCUCUUGCACUCUUGCGCUCUUGCGCUCUGGCUCCUAAAGAUGUAAGCAAUAGAGCUCUUGCUCUCUUGCACU
rnacentral:lncRNA from 1 species